ACUCCUACGGGAGGCAGCAGUGGGGAAUAUUGGACAAUGGGGGAAACCCUGAUCCAGCAAUGCCGCGUGUGUGAAGAAGGCCUGAGGGUUGUAAAGCACUUUUAGUCGUGAGGAAAUGCUGAUGGUUAAUACCUAUUAGUUUUGACGUUAGCGACAGAAAAAGCACCGGCUAACUCUGUGCCAGCAGCCGCGGUAAUACAGAGGGUGCAAGCGUUAAUCGGAUUGACUGGGCGUAAAGGGCGCGUAGGUGGUUAUUUAAGUUAGAUGUGAAAUCCCUGGGCUUAACCUAGGAACUGCAUUUAAUACUGGGU
rnacentral:rRNA from 1 species